rnacentral:tRNA from 1 species
GCCCCGGUAGCUCAGCCUGGUGGAGCGCCUCACUGGUAACGAGGGGGUUCGGGAUAGGGUUCAAAUCCCGGCCGGGGCU